rnacentral:rRNA from 1 species
GACGAACGCUGGCGGCGUGCUUAACACAUGCAAGUCGAACGGAAAGGCCCUGCUGUUGUGGGGUGCUCGAGUGGCGAACGGGUGAGUAACACGUGAGUAACCUGCCCUUGACUUUGGGAUAACUUCAGGAAACUGGGGCUAAUACCGGAUAGGAGAUCCUGCUGCAUGGUGGGGGUUGGAAAGUUUCGGCGGUUGGGGAUGGACUCGCGGCUUAUCAGCUUGUUGGUGGGGUAGUGGCUUACCAAGGCUUUGACGGGUAGCCGGCCUGAGAGGGUGACCGGCCUCAUUGGGACUGAGAUACGGCCCAGAGUCCUACGGGAGGCAGUGGGGGGGAAUAUGACACAAUGGGCGGACGCCUGAUGCAGCAACGCUGCGUGCGUGAUGACGGUCUUCGGGUUGUAAACCGCUUUCGCCUGUGACGAAGCGUGAGUGACGGUAAUGGGUAAAGAAGCACCGGCUAACUACGUG